AUAGUCCACAACAUCUGGAGUGCCAAAGGUUGCCAAACCAUGUCCUAGACCAGGGAUAGGCAACCUUCGGCAUUCCAGAUGUUGUGGACUACAU